UACAGAGGAUGCAAGCGUUAUCCGGAAUGAUUGGGCGUAAAGCGUCUGUAGGUGGCUUUUUAAGUCCGCCGUCAAAUCCCAGGGCUCAACUCUGGACAGGCGGUGGAAACUACCAAGCUGGAGUACGGUAGGGGCAGAGGGAAUUUCCGGUGGAGCGGUGAAAUGCGUAGAUAUCUGGAGGAACACCGGUGGCGAAGGCGGCAUUCUGGACCAUUACUGACGCUGAGGAGCGAAAGCCAGGGGAGCAAACGGG
rnacentral:rRNA from 1 species